GAACCAGUACUGUGAAGGAAAGGUGAAAAGAACCUCGAACAGAGGAGUGAAAAAGACCCUGAAACCAUGCGCCUACAAGCGGUCGGAGCAUGUUAAAAUGUGACGGCGUGCCUUUUGCAUAAUGAACCUACGAGUUACUCUCGCUGGCAAGGUUAAGCGAUUCAGUCGCGCAGCCGAAGCGAAAGCAAGUCCGAACAAGGCGUACAGUCAGCGGGAGUAGACGCGAAACCAAGUGAUCUACCCUUGGUCAGGUUGAAGGUUGGGUAACACCAACUGGAGGACCGCACCGAUAAGCGUUGAAAAGCUUACGGAUGAACUGAGGGUAGGAGUGAAAGGCCAAUCAAACUUGGAGAUAGCUCGUACUCCCCGAAAUGCAUUUAGGUGCAGCCUCGAAGCAGAGUGAUAGAGGUAGAGCGACUGAUAAGAUGCGAGGGCUUCACCGCCUAUCAAGUCUUGACAAACUCCGAAUACUAUCACUUGAUCUUUGGGAGUGAGGGCAUGGGUGCUAAGGUCCAUGUCCGAAAGAGGAACAACUCAGACCACCGGCUAAGGUCCCGAAAUAAGGGCUAAGUUGAACAAACGAAGUAAAACUGCAAAGACAGCUAGGAUGUUGGCUUGGAAGCAGCCAUUCAUUUAAAGAGUGCGUAACAGCUCACUAGUCGAGGAGUUUUGCAUGGAUAAUAAUCGGGCAUAAGCCCUUUACCGAAGCUGUGGAUGUCGUAAGACAUGGUAGGGGAGCAUUCCGGCGGCGACGAAGGCCGUCCUCGAGGACGACUGGAGCUUUCGGAAAAGCAAAUGUAGGUAUAAGUAACGAUAAAGGGGGCGCGAAACCCCCUCGCCAUAAGACUAAGGAUUCCUGAUCAACGCUAAUCGGAUCAGGGUAAGUCGGGCCCUAAGGCGCAGCCGAACGGCGCAGCCGAUGGAAGAAACGGUAAAAAUUCCGUUACUGGAUAUAGGAGCGAUGUGGAGACGGAGAAGUGACACACCCGCCUGCCGACGGAAGCGCAGGUUAAAGGAAGUAGGUAAACGCCGGGCAGGCAAAUCCGCCUGGCGUGCCGAAGCUGACAGUAUCGAGAGCCCCCGGGCAAUCGAAUAGCGGUGGUAAUCAGGCUCCCAAGAAAAUCCGCUAAGCAUAUUCUAUAUUCACCCGUACCCCAAACGGACACACGUAGUCGGGUAGAAUAUACCAAGGCGCUCGAAAGACUCACGGUUAAGGAACUAGGCAAAUUGACCCUGUAACCUCGGGAAAAAGGGUCCCCAGUAAGAUGGGGCGCAGAGAAUAGGUCCAGGCAACUGUUUAACAAAAACACAGGGCUGUGCAAAAUUUCAAGAUGAAGUAUACAGCCUGACACCUGCCCGGUGCCGGAAGGUUAAGAGGAGAGCUUAUCGCAAGAGAAGGCUUGAAUUGAAGCCCCGGUAAACGGCGGCCGUAACUAUAACGGUCCUAAGGUAGCGAAAUUCCUUGUCGGGUAAGUUCCGACCUGCACGAAUGGUGUAAUGAUCUGGACACUGUCUCAACC
rnacentral:rRNA from 1 species